rnacentral:rRNA from 1 species
UAUUGGGCAAUGGGCGCAAGCCUGACCCAGCAACGCCGCGUGAAGGAAGAAGGCUUUCGGGUUGUAAACUUCUUUUAAGGGGGAAGAGCAGAAGACGGUACCCCUUGAAUAAGCCACGGCUAACUACGUGCCAGCAGCCGCGGUAAUACGUAGGUGGCAAGCGUUGUCCGGAUUUACUGGGUGUAAAGGGCGUGCAGCCGGAGAGGCAAGUCAGAUGUGAAAUCCGCGGGCUCAACCCGCGAACUGCAUUUGAAACUGCUUCCCUUGAGUAUCGGAGAGGUAACCGGAAUUCCUAGUGUAGCGGUGAAAUGCGUAGAUAUUAGGAAGAACACCAGUGGCGAAGGCGGGUUACUGGACGACAACUGACGGUGAGGCGCGAAAGCGUGGGGAGCAAACAGG